GACGAACUGUGCAAACGUUAUUCGGAAUCACUGGGCUUGAAGAGUGCGUAGGCGGUUUUGUAAGUAGGGUGUGAAAGCCCCCGGCUCGACCGGGGAAUUGCGCCCUAAACUGCAAGGCUUGAGUGAGGUAGGGGUGUGUGGAACUUCCAGUGGAGCGGUGAAAUGUGUUGAUAUUGGAAGGAACGCCGGUGGCGAAAGCGACACACUGGACCUUGUCUGACGCUGAGGCACGAAAGCCAGGGGAGCAAACGGG
rnacentral:rRNA from 1 species